rnacentral:rRNA from 1 species
UACGGAGGGUGCGAGCGUUGUCCGGAAUCAUUGGGCGUAAAGGGCGCGUAGGUGGCCCCUCAAGCGUGCGGUGAAAGUCAGGGGCUCAACCCCUGAUCGGCCGUGCGAACUGGGGAGCUUGAGCACUGUAGAGGCAGGCGGAAUUCCGGGUGUAGCGGUGGAAUGCGUAGAGAUCCGGAAGAACACCGGUGGCGAAGGCGGCCUGCUGGGCAGUUUUGCUGACACUGAGGCGCGACAGCGUGGGGAGCGAACAGG